AACGAACGCUUGCGGCGCGCCUAAUACAUGCAAGUCGAACGAGAAAGUGCUUUCGGGCACAAGUACAGUGGCGGACGGGUGAGGAACGCGUGGAUAACCUUCCCUUCAGCGGGGGAUAACUACUCGAAAGAGUAGCUAAUACCGCAUAAGACCACAACGCCUGCGGGCGAAGGGGUUAAAGGCUUCGGCCACUGAUGGAUGGGUCCGCGCCCGAUUAGCUAGUUGGUGAGGUAACGGCUUACCAAGGCGACGAUCGGUAGCUGGUCUCAGAGGAUGAUCAGCCACACUGGAACUGAGACACGGUCCAGACUCCUACGGGAGGCAGCAGUAGGGAAUAUUGCACAAUGGAGGAAACUCUGAUGCAGCGACGCCGCGUGAGCGAUGAAGGCCUUCGGGUUGUAAAGCUCUGUGAUAGGGGAAGAUAAUGACGGUACCCUAUCAGAAAGGACCGGCUAACUUCGUGCCAGCAGCCGCCGUAAAAC
rnacentral:rRNA from 1 species